rnacentral:tRNA from 1 species
GCUUUUAAUACUGGGAUAGCUCAGUCAGUAGAGCAUGAGACUCUUAAUCCCAGGGUUGUGGAUUCGAGCCUCACCUUGGGCA